UACAGAGGUCUCAAGCGUUGUUCGGAUUCAUUGGGCGUAAAGGGUGCGUAGGUGGCGGGGUAAGUCAGGUGUGAAAUCUCGGGGCUCAACCCCGAAACUGCACUUGAUACUGCCUUGCUCGAGUACUGGAGAGGAGAUUGGAAUUUACGGUGUAGCAGUGAAAUGCGUAGAUAUCGUAAGGAAGACCAGUGGCGAAGGCGGGUCUCUGGACAGUUCCUGACGCUGAGGCACGAAGGCCAGGGGAGCAAACGGG
rnacentral:rRNA from 1 species